rnacentral:misc_RNA from 1 species
UUUAAAUAUUAUUUUAUUUUUGCUUUUGUAAUUUCCUUGCUCACUAAGUUUAUAUACUCACUCCCCUACUUUUACUUAUCCCUCAAGGAAUAAGAGUAGAAGAUAGAGUCAACAGAUUUUGGAUAAGUAAGCUCCAAGGUUUGAUAUGACACUUUUUCAAUAUUUUUGAAUUGUAUUCUUUUUGUGGAGCUUCUUCAAGACAUGUAUAACUUUUGUUAUUUUGAUUUUG